rnacentral:rRNA from 1 species
UACAGAGGUCUCAAGCGUUGUUCGGAUUCAUUGGGCGUAAAGGGUGCGUAGGUGGCCAGGUAAGUCGGAUGUGAAAUCCCGGGGCUCAACCCCGGAACUGCAUUCGAUACUGCCCGGCUUGAGUACUGGAGAGGAGAUUGGAAUUUACGGUGUAGCAGUGAAAUGCGUAGAUAUCGUAAGGAAGACCAGUGGCGAAGGCGGCUCACUGGCUCAUUUCUGACGCUCAGGCGCGACAGCGUGGGGAUCAAACAGG